AUACGGAGGGAGCGAGCGUUAAUCGGAAUUACUGGGCGUAAAGCGCGCGUAGGCGGCUUUGUAAGUCGGAUGUGAAAGCCCAGGGCUCAACCCUGGAAUUGCAUUCGAUACUGCACGGCUAGAGUAUGGUAGAGGGAAGUGGAAUUCCAGGUGUAGCGGUGAAAUGCAUAGAUAUCUGGAGGAACAUCAGUGGCGAAGGCGGCUUUCUGGAUCAAUACUGACGCUGAGGUGCGAAAGCGUGGGGAGCAAACAGGAUUAGAAACCCCUGUAGUCC
rnacentral:rRNA from 1 species